AACGAACGCUGGCGGCAUGCCUAACACAUGCAAGUUGAACGAGACCUUCGGGUCUAGUGGCGCACGGGUGCGUAACGCGUGGGAACCUGCCUUUAGGUUCGGAAUAACUCAGAGAAAUUUGAGCUAAUACCGGAUAAUGUCUUCGGACCAAAGAUUUAUCGCCUUUAGAUGGGCCCGCGUUGGAUUAGCUAGUUGGUGGGGUAAAGGCCUACCAAGGCGACGAUCCAUAGCUGGUCUGAGAGGAUGAUCAGCCACACUGGGACUGAGACACGGCCCAGACUCCUACGGGAGGCAGCAGUGGGGAAUAUUGGGACAAUGGGCGAAAGCCUGAUCCAGCAAUGCCGCGUGAGUGAUG
rnacentral:rRNA from 1 species